GGCCGCCUGGCGAAAUGGCAUCGCGUCUGACUACGAGUGCCACUUCGGAAUCAGGAGAUUGCAGGUUCGAGACCUGCGGUGGUCA